GUGGGUGGGAUAGUAUAACAAU
rnacentral:miRNA from 1 species